CCUGACAUUCCUGUUAGGAAGAGGCCUCUCCUGCCCAGCUCAUGUCUACAGCUGUAACAGAACCACAUGGAAAAAUGAGGCUCUCUCUUGCUCUGCUGCCAUGUAAGAUGUGUUUUGCUCCCCCUUCACUUUCCACCAUGAUUGUGAGGCCUCACCAGCCAUGUGGAACUAUGUCCCAGCACCAUCUGUAACAACAACAACAAAGACUUUAUAUUUCUCAUUGAAUUAACCUGACACUUUGAGAAGAAACUCCGAUGUUCUUGGAGACAUGGCUGCCCUGGAACUUGGUAAACUCACAUCCUUUGAGGCAAGGUGAUAUCAUACAGCCAGGCCCUGCUGAGCUCUACAGCUUUCUCUGAUGUUCUGCAGUCCAGGGUCACAGGACACAACACUCCAGACCACGCUGACUGCUUUUGUUGAGUUUCUACUUCACUUUCGAUGAGUAAUCUACUUCCUGUUAGCAUCUGACAGGUCUCAAAAAGAACAGUAUUAAUCCAGUGGGAAGUGUGUGGGAGCAGGAAGCUACCUCUAGAAGAAAUGGUAUCAUAAUUCUCAAGCUUAUUUCUCCCACAAAAAUGUUUGAUUAACUUUGAAAGAGAAAAAAUGUGAGGCAACUGUAAUCAUAAAUCUAAUCAGUUCUUACCAAUCUGGCUUUUCCCCCAACCCAAAAUAAUUACACAUACCAUUAUCAUGUUGUUCAGUAUUAUGAAACUACUGGUUAAUCUGGCCUAUUGGAAUACUUACAAAUAAAAGCCUCUAGGUAUCUUUUUCUCUUCAAGAGUGAAAUAUUUCAUCUACAUUUUGAAUGUCUGCAAAGAAAACUCUUUUCGGGGCAAUUCUAAGGGUCUAGUUGUUGGAAGCAUCAAAUAUUUGAAAGGAAUAAGAAGGCUUUGACUUCAUAAUUGUAUUUGUAGCUUUGUGGACCCAGCAUGAUCUUUAACACCAUGAUGUUGCAACAAUCACUGUUUUUACUGAGCAGUGACUGGUGAAAUGUAUGUUGUUUUUUGUUUUGUGUUUCAAUUAUUUUUCUACCAAUAGUUACAUGAAGGUUUCUUUUUUUUUCCUUUACUUGUUUAUUAAAUACAUGACAAAGUUGAGAAGCACAUUACCAGGAUAAAUUGUACUGACCCUCCUGUCUCUCUUCUUCACUAAUUAAUGUUUGGUUUGGUUAGAAGACAGGAGGGUCUUAAGACCACUGUCAUUAUCAUGAGUUAGGUUUGUAAAUGUCAUGGUGAAAAAAAUAUUAAUAUCUCAAAAUGUCUAUUUUUAAAAUUGAUCUUAUAGCUUAACAAGCCCACUUAGUGGAAUAUUUUCCACCAUCAUUUAACCACUAAUGAUUCUGAAAGUAUUUUAUGUCCACAUGAUCUUAGACCUUCUCUUAAUGAUUGCAUUAACUUACAAACUCAAGACUAUCUUGGAGGACACUGAAUAUUGUUGUGUGUAGCAAAGUAUUUACUUUCUUUAAAUAACCAGCUCAGUGAUAGUUCUCUGUUUCUAGCAGUCUGUGUAAUUCUGUUUCUUCAGAGGAAUAUUUUUCACAUUGAUACAGGAGAGGGGCAGGGAAGUGCUGGGUAAAGAAGGGCAGGGUCCCUGACAAGGGCUCCACCCUCGGGCCUGGGCCCAUGGACCUAAGUGAGGACAGGCACUCUUGCUUUCAUGCCUAAAUGUUACAUUUUCCAAAACCACUCUGGCCUGCCAUGCCCCCAUCCUGUGCCUAUACAAACCCGCAGACCCUAGUGGACACACACACAAGUGGCUGGAUGUCGAGAGGAACACACUGGCAGAAGAACACACCGACAGACACCUGCAGGCCAUUGACUGUGGAACAAUAUGGACACCGAUUGAAAUUCAGCCAAGGGUGAUGGGAGGAGAUCCCAGCCACUGAGAGGCCCAACUCCAGGGGAAGACUGCUUUCCCACUCCAUCCCCCUUCUGGCUCCCCGUUAGUCUGCUGAGAGCUACUUCCACCACUCAAUAAAACUUUGCACUCAUUCUCCAAGCUCACGUGUGAUCUGAUUUUUCUGGUACACUAGAGCAAGAACCCCGGGAUAAAGAAACACUUCUUUCCUUGCAAUAAGGCAGAGGGUCUAAAUGAGCUGAUUAAUACAAGCUGCCUGCAGAUGGCUAAGCUGAAAGAGGACACUGUAACACAAGCCCACUGGGGCUUCGAGAGCUGUAACAUUCAGCCCUAGAUGCUGCCAUGGGGUUGGAGCCCAUGGUCCUCACGACCGGCCUGCCUACAUGCUCCCCUUAGGGGUUGGAGCUGUGGGGCACCGAAACAGCCCAGCCACAACCCCAUCACAUGCCCGGCAAGGGGGAUAGGGGAAGUUUUCUUGUUUCAACAUUUCUUUUUUAUUUUUGUUUUUAGGGUGAUAAGAUAUCUUUCUUUCUGUUUACCCCUUUUCUCCUAAAAUCAAUGCAGGUGAGGUGGGUGGGUAAGGAGUGUUAUUUUUAAAUAGCCUGUUAGGUAUACUUGGGUGGGUGGGAGGGUUGUAAGUAUAUUUUUAUGAAUCUUGCUUGAUACUGAUCAUUAGCUCUCAAGCCCAGUCAGCAAAAUGCUUUCAUUUUUAGCUAUAGAACAACGACCCAGUUGAAUUUUUAUUUUUUCUAUUUAAGAAAAUUAAGCACAGAAUUAAGAGUAUUAAAAUGGGCAUGUGGCCUCAUGUUAAAAUGACUAAAUCUCCUAAUUUGUAUUUGUCCCAGACAGUCAAGAUAAGAGGGAACAUGCACUAUCAGAUUAACUCUCCUUGGACACAGAAACCGUGCUACAAGCCAGUCUGCCCUGUUGACUGCCAUAUUUCUGUUUUUGUGUGUGCUAAGUUCCCUCGUACUUGUUUCCAUUGUGCUGACUGCCUUUGACACUUGUAAAUAGGAAAUUGCUGUAAUAAUGUUAAUCCCAUCAAUUCAGUGAAUGGGUGGAAGGAAGCUUUUCCCCCAAACCUUUAGGCAAAAGUUGGUUUUAGUUUGUUUUUCUCUUUUGGCUUUCACUUGAAUCUGAAAUGUUACUAUUGUGGGCCACAUUUGACAUGUGACAGGCAAGGAGCAGGUGAACAAUCAAUGGAAAAGUGUUUUUUUUAAAAAAAAAAAAUACUCCUGUGUUAGCUAACAGACUUCUGACCACGUCACUGCCGUUCACAGAGAAGGCUGAAGAAGGUAGCGAGCAGAUGCUGUAUCAGCUACUACAGCCUUAAAACAAAGUUGGUGUCUCUUUGGAUUUUAAAAUUGUUCCUGUGCUGCUUAUUUUAUUUCUUUUUAACCAAGUAAACAGGAUAUUUUUUCCAUAGAGAAGAAAAAAAAAGAUUUCCUACUUAAAGAAAGGGAAUUAGAUUAAAUCAAUCACAACAGGACUAUGAGUUUCCAAAAUACAACUAUAGAAAAAAGUGCCAGUACUCACAAGCCAUGCACAUAUCCACGUGAGAAGAAGCAGAGGACUGCCACCAGUCCCCA